UACGUAGGGGGCAAGCGUUACCCGGAUUCACUGGGCGUAAAGGGAGCGCAGGCGGCAUGGUAAGUCUGAUGUGAAAACCCGGGGCCCAACCCCGGGAGUGCAUUGGAAACUGCCAGGCUGGAGUGUCGGAGGGGUAAGCGGAAUUCCUAGUGUAGCGGUGAAAUGCGUAGAUAUUAGGAGGAACACCAGUGGCGAAGGCGGCUUACUGGACGACUACUGACGCUGAGGCUCGAAAGCGUGGGGAGCAAACAGG
rnacentral:rRNA from 1 species